AAUAGAUACCCCGGUAGUCCACGCCGUAAACGAUGGAUGCUAGCCGUCGGAUAGCUUGCUAUUCGGUGGCGCAGCUAACGCAUUAAGCAUCCCGCCUGGGGAGUACGGCCGCAAGGUUAAAACUCAAAGGAAUUGACGGGGGCCCGCACAAGCGGUGGAGCAUGUGGUUUAAUUCGACGCAACGCGAAGAACCUUACCAGCUCUUGACAUUCACUGAUCGCCUGGAGAGAUCCGGGAGUCCUAGCAAUAGGCAGUGGGACAGGUGCUGCAUGGCUGUCGUCAGCUCGUGUCAUGAGAUGUUGGGUUAAGUCCCGCAACGAGCGCAACCCUCGCCAUUAGUUGCCAUCAUUCAGUUGGGCACUCUAGUGGGACUGCCGGUGAUAAGCCGGAGGAAGGUGGGAUGACGUCAAGUCAUCAUGGCCCUUACGGGCUGGGCUACACACGUGCUACAAUGGCGGUGACAAUGCGCAGCCACCUAGCAAUAGGGAGCUAAUCGCAAAAAGUCCCG
rnacentral:rRNA from 1 species